rnacentral:lncRNA from 1 species
AUAGAUAUUAUGUCCAUACAGAAAAGUAAAAACAUUUGAUAAUGUUAUUCAAUCUGUCAUUGUAAAUUUCUAAAUGUCUAAAAAAAUAGUUCACCAUAUCAUUCUUGAUUAUUUGUUAUUUCUUUUCAUUUCGUUCAUUCUAAGCUAUUUUAUAAUUCCAUCAAAUCACUAUUACAACAAACUAUUUCUUAAUGCACUAAAAAAAGAAAUUAACAAGUCUUGAAAAAAAAUUUCAACAAGUCUUCAAUCCCAUAAAACAGCACUCACAAAUUUAGCAAAAAUUCA